AGGUAUUCCGGGGAUAAACGGAGACAGAACCCGAAUGUAAGUCUGUAGGUAAUCCGGGGAUUAACUGAAACAUAACCCAAGUGUAAAUCUGUAUGUAAUACGGGGAUUAACGGAGACAUAACCCAAGUGUAAGUCUGUAGGUAAUCCGGGGAUUAACUGAGACAUAACCCGAAUGUAAGUCUGUAGGUAAUCCGGGGAUUAACUGAGACAAAAUCCCAAUAUAAGUCUGUAGGUAAUUUGCAAUAAUGGGAACAUUUUCGACAAAAAUGCCAAGUAAAGUUUUGUGAAUCGAGGAUUACGUGUUAAAAGCUAGAUACCCUUAUGACCAUCCUUACCAACAAUUAUAUAAAGUAGGAUAAAAAGCUAGAUACCCUUAUGACCAUCCUUACCAACAAUUAGAUACAGUAUGAUAAAAAGCUAGAUACCCUUAUGACAUUAUAUACAGUAUGAUAAAAAGCUAGAUACCCUUAUGACCAUCCUUACCAACAAUUAGAUACAGUAUGAUAAAAAGCUAGAUACCCUUAUGAACAUCCUUACCAACAAUUAUAUACAGUAGGAUAAAAAGCUAGAUACCCUUAUGCCCAUCCUUACCAACAAUUAUAUACAGUAUGAUAAAAAGCUAGGUACCCUUAUGACCAUCCUUACCAACAAUUAUAUAAAGUAGGAUAAAAAGCUAGAUUCCCUUAUGACCAUCCUUACCAACAAUUAUAUAAAGUAGGAUAAAAAGCUAGAUCCCCUUAUGACCAUCCUUACCAACAAUUAUAUAC